rnacentral:rRNA from 1 species
GGUUCAGCGACGACGGCGUGGACGCAGCGGCAGAACAAGCAGUUUGAGUGCGCGCUGGCGGUGUACGACCGGGACACGCCGCACCGGUGGCACGACGUGGCCCGUUACAUGGGCGGCGCCAAGUCCGCCGACGAGGUGCGCCGCCACUUCGAACGCCUCGUCCACGACGUCGCGCAGAUUGAGUCAUCCGGGCGCUACGCCGGCUAG